rnacentral:rRNA from 1 species
GAUGAACGCUGGCGGUAUGCUUAACACAUGCAAGUCGUACGAAGAUAAAAUUGUGCUUGCACGAUUUUAUACUUAGUGGCGGACGGGUGAGUAACACGUAAGAAUCUACCUUUUGGCGAGGGACAACCACUGGAAACGGUGGCUAAUACCUCAUAUAACUGAGAAGUGAAAGAUGAAAAUCACCAAGAGAUGAGCUUGCGUCUGAUUAGCUAGUUGGUAAGGUAAAGGCUUACCAAGGCGACGAUCAGUAGCUGGUCUGAGAGGAUGAUCAGCCACACUGGGACUGAGACACGGCCCAGACUCCUACGGGAGGCAGCAGUGAGGAAUUUUCCGCAAUGGGCGAAAGCCUGACGGAGCAAUACCGCGUGAAGGAUUAAGGCCUAUGGGUUGUAAACUUCUUUUCUCAGAGAAGAAUUUUGACGGUAUCUGAGGAAUAAGCAUCGGCUAACUCUGUGCCAGCAA